GGGCGCUUAGCUCAGCGGCAGAGCACUGCCUCGACACGGCAGGGGUCGGCGGUUCAAAUCCGCCAGCGCCCA
rnacentral:tRNA from 1 species